rnacentral:misc_RNA from 1 species
UACGUAGGGGGCAAGCGUUGUCCGGAUUUAUUGGGCGUAAAGAGCGCGUAGGCGGCCUGGUAAGUCGGGUGUGAAAUCUCCGAGCUCAACUCGGAGGGGCCACUCGAUACUGCUAUGGCUCGAGUCCGGUAGAGGAGUGUGGAAUUCCCGGUGUAGCGGUGAAAUGCGCAGAUAUCGGGAGGAACACCGAUAGCGAAGGCAGCACUCUGGGCCGGUACUGACGCUGAGGCGCGAAAGCGUGGGGAGCAAACAGG